CCUACGGGUGACUGCAGUGAGGAAUAUUGGUCAAUGGACGAGAGUCUGAACCAGCCAAGUAGCGUGAAGGAUGACUGCUCUAUGGUUUGUAAACUUCUUUUAUAAAGGAAUAAAACGAGGCACGUGUGCCUUUUUGCAUUUACUUUAUGAAUAAGGAUCGGCUAACUCCGUUCCAGCAGCCGCGGUAAUACGGAGGAUCCGAGCGUUAUCCGGAUUUAUUGGGUUUAACGGGAGCGUAGAUGGGUUGUUAAGUCAGUUGUGAAAGUUUGCGGCUCAACCGUAAAAUUGCAAUUGAUACUGGCAGUCUUGAGUACAGUUGAGGUAGGCGGAAUUCGUGGUGUAGCGGUGAAAUGCUUAGAUAUCACGAAGAACACCGAUUGCGAAGGCAGCUUACUAAACUGUGACUGACAUUGAUGCUCGAAAGUGUGGGGAUCAAACAGGAUUAGAUACCCCUGUAGUC
rnacentral:rRNA from 1 species